rnacentral:tRNA from 1 species
GUCGGUAUAGCUCAGUGGUAGAGCAUUGGACUACAGAUCGAGAGGUCCCCAGUUCAAACCUGGGUGCCCCCU